rnacentral:tRNA from 1 species
CGGGGCGUGGCGCAGCCCGGCAGCGCGCUUGCAUGGGGUGCAAGAGGUCCCGGGUUCAAAUCCCGGCGCCCCGA